UUGUAAUACAAGAUCUAAAACUUAUCAAUUAAGUUGUAUUACAUAUUUUUAAUUGUCUUUAAAUAUUUAAUUUUUACUCUAAAUACCAUUUAUUUAAAUUAUACAGAGAAUUAUAUAAAUUGAAGUCUUUGUUUACAAACUCUUGAAAAGUUGAAAAAAUUACUAUUGUUAGAUAGAAAAUUUCCAUGUGUUGAGUUAACAUGAAGGAUUUCGUGCUACAGUGUAAUCUGUUUGGAAUGUAAUAGAGUGUAACAUAGGCUUAAAAUUAAGCUGUAACUUAUUCUAAUAAAUAACAUACUUCAUGUACUAAUGAGGAAGACCUAUGACUACCCGAUAUUGAUCUUUCUCUACCACCAUACCUCAAUCUUCUAGGAGCAUUAGGAUCAACAGAAUCUGGCUCAGAAUUUGAAUUGCUAUUAUCACAUUCACUACAUUGCCUAUUCAGCACAUGAUUAUAUUAAAAGUUUUAAAAAUAUUAAUUGGUUAUAAGUUAAUAAAAUACCAUCCAAACA